rnacentral:rRNA from 1 species
AAACUUACCAGGUCAAGACAUGGGCGUGAUUGACAGGCUAAUGACUUUUCUCGAUUCCAUGGAUGGUGGUGCAUGGUCGCACUUAGUUGGUGCAGUGAUUUGUCAGGUUUAUUCCGGUAACGAACGAGACCUCGGCCUUGUAAAUAGCUAUGCUGCUUACAGGGACAUUGGCGGCUACGCCAAGGAAGCUCGAGGCAAUUGCAGAUCUGGAAUGCCCUUAGAUGUCCUGGGUCGCACGCGUGCUACAAUGACGCCACGAACGAGCUUGCGUGAUGAAAGUUACGCAUAAUCAGCAGUCGGCGUCUUAAGGGAUAGUCUCUUGUAACUGUGGGACUCCAACUAGGAAUGUCUCGUAAGCACAAGUCAACAUCUUGUGUUGAUUACGUCCCUGCUCUUUGUACACACCGCCCGUCGCUCCUACCGAUCGAGUGUUUAGGUGAAUUUGAUGGACGUAAGGAAGUCAAAUAAACCUGAGCACUAGAGAAGAGAAGUCGAGCAUC